GCACUAAUGGUCUAGUGGUAUGAUGAAACGUUGCCAUCGUUUCGACCGGGGUUCGAUUCCCCGUUAGUGCA
rfam:Cryptosporidium ubiquitum isolate 39726 contig_11, whole genome shotgun sequence.